GACGAACGCUGGCGGCGUGCCUAAUACAUGCAAGUAGAACGCACAGUUUAUACCGUAGCUUGCUACACCAUAGACUGUGAGUUGCGAACGGGUGAGUAACGCGUAGGUAACCUGCCUGGUAGCGGGGGAUAACUAUUGGAAACGAUAGCUAAUACCGCAUAAUAUUAAUUAUUGCAUGAUAAUUAAUUGAAAGGUGCAAUUGCACCACUACCAGAUGGACCUGCGUUGUAUUAGCUAGUAGGUGAGGUAACGGCUCACCUAGGCGACGAUACAUAGCCGACCUGAGAGGGGGAUCGGCCACACUGGGACUGAGACACGGCCCAGACUCCUACGGGAGGCAGCAGGAGGGAAUCUUCGGCAAUGGACGAAAGUCUGAACGAGCAACGCCGCGUGAGUGAAGAAGGGUUUCGGAUCGUAAAGCUCUGUUGUAAGAGAAGAAAGGGUGUGAGAGUGGAAAGUUCACACUGUGACGGUAUCUUACCAGAAAGGGACGGCUAACUACGUG
rnacentral:rRNA from 1 species